rnacentral:rRNA from 1 species
GACGAACGCUGGCGGCGUGCUUAACACAUGCAGGUCGAACGGAAAGGCCCUGCUUUUGUGGGGUGCUCGAGUGGCGAACGGGUGAGUAACACGUGAGUAACCUGCCCUUGACUUUGGGAUAACUUCAGGAAACUGGGGCUAAUACCGGAUAGGAGCUCCUGCUGCAUGGUGGGGGUUGGAAAGUUUCGGCGGUUGGGGAUGGACUCGCGGCUUAUCAGCUUGUUGGUGGGGUAGUGGCUUACCAAGGCUUUGACGGGUAGCCGGCCUGAGAGGGUGACCGGCCACAUUGGGACUGAAAUACGGCCCAGACUCCUACGGGAGGCAGCAGUGGGGAAUAUUGCACAAUGGGCGGAAGCCUGAUGCAGCAACGCCGCGUGCGGGAUGACGGCCUUCGGGUUGUAAACCGCUUUCGCCUGUGACGAAGCGUGAGUGACGGUAAUGGGUAAAGAAGCACCGGCUAACUACGUG